UGAGGACACCCCCUCAGCCCUCAACUCUGCCUCUCAGGAGCUCCAGGAUCUGCAGGCAUCUCGCCAAAGAAGCCACCAGCGUCUGGAGGAGGUUCAGGAGAGGCUGAGGAAUGCCAGUCAACAUGUACGGCACUGGAACAUCCAGCUGAACCGACUGAUGACCCC